GUGAUAAGAGCCUGGGCAGGCAACAGCCUUGUAAGUUGAAGAGAAAGGAUUAGCACCCUUUUUAUCACU
rnacentral:tRNA from 1 species